GGCCGGUUGGCCCAAUGGCAAGGCGUCUGACUACGAUUGAUAUGUUAUCAGGAGAUUCUGGGUUCGACCCCCAGGCUGGUCA